AACCUGAAACUGUUGCUUCGGCGGGCCGCUGGCUCUUGCCGCGCCCGCCGAAGGUUUAUAUUAGGCUCUUUAGCUGGGGUGCUAUUCCCUAUACUGUCCUCUGAAUCGCUUCCAAACUAGUCAAAACUUUCAACAACGGAUCUCUUGGUUCAGGCAUCGAUGAAGAACGCAGCGAAAUGCGAUAAGUAAUGUGAAUUGCAGAAUUUAGUGAAUCAUCGAAUCUUUGAACGCAUAUUGCGCCCGCCAGCACUCUGGCGGGCAUGCCUGUUCGAGCGUCAUUUCAAUCCUCAGGCCUCGUGUCUGGCGUUGGGGCGCCGCGGCCCUCCCGCAGGCCCCCAAAUCUAGCGGCGGAUCCGCCGCGGCCCUGAGCGCAGUAGUUACCUAACUUUAACGCUCCGGCGGCCGUGGCGCGGUUCUGCCUCCCGCCCUAUAGCGCCAAUAGCGCUACUCCCAAAAAGUUGACCUCGGAUCAGGUAGGACUACCCGCUGAACUUAAGCAUAUCAAUAAGCGGAGGA
rnacentral:rRNA from 1 species